CUGGGAUCUUCGGUAGUUGAUCUGAAGUGAGAACGGCCAUUCCCGAUUAUUACCGUUAGGGCUCAGCAUCGGAGGGAAUAGACUCUCCUGGUGGGUUCUACGAACCACCUGCGAUUUUGGAAUUAUCCACAUCUUACAGGUGAAGAAAAUGCAUCUUUGAGGGGUCGAGUUGACUUCGCCGCGGGCUUAGUUACUUGGAUUUUCUUUUAAAAAACCAAAGUCACAUGACUUAAAACCAAGCAGAGCAGAGACAAGAGAGCCUGGACGUCUAACCCUGCUCGGGGGCCCUUCUGGUGCUGGGCCCGGCCCGAUACCAACCCAGUUCAACGGCACAACGCGGUGUCUUCACGGCCCGCCCACUCUCGCCUGCCUCGCGUCAAACUCUCAUUGCACUAUUGAGACCCGUCUCUGCUGUCACCCUGCUCUUUUGGCAAUGCCAACGGCCGACACAGCAAGGCAUCCAUAAACCACACUCUGA